AUUUGAUCUAUCUCCAUUAAACUUGGAUAUAGGCCAAGUUUAUAAAGAAACACGUUUAUUCCUGGAUGGAGAGGAAGAAAAAGAAUGGGCAUUUGAGGAAAGCAAAAUAGAUGAGCACCAUUUUGUUGCAGUUGCUCUUAGGAAACCCGAUGGAUCUAGACAUCAGGAUGUUCCAUCUCAGGAUGAUUCCAAACCAACCCAG
rnacentral:misc_RNA from 1 species